rnacentral:piRNA from 1 species
UGAAAAGGACAGAAAGGAAAAGACCUCAGU